rnacentral:rRNA from 1 species
AUUGAACGCUGGCGGCAUGCCUUACACAUGCAGGUCGAACGGCAGCACGGGAGCAAUCCUGGUGGCGAGUGGCGAACGGGUGAGUAAUAUAUCGGAACGUGCCCAGUCGUGGGGGAUAACGUAGCGAAAGCUACGCUAAUACCGCAUACGAUCUAUGGAUGAAAGCGGGGAUCGCAAGACCUCGCGCGAUUGGAGCGGCCGAUAUCAGAUUAGGUAGUUGGUGAGGUAAAGGCUCACCAAGCCGACGAUCUGUAGCUGGUCUGAGAGGACGACCAGCCACACUGGGACUGAGACACGGCCCAGACUCCUACGGGAGGCAGCAGUGGGGAAUUUUGGACAAUGGGCGCAAGCCUGAUCCAGCAAUGCCGCGUGCAGGAUGAAGGCCUUCGGGUUGUAAACUGCUUUGUACGGAACGAAACGGUGAGCUCUAAUACAGUUUGCUAAUGACGGUACCGUAAGAAUAAGCACCGGCUAACUACGUG